rnacentral:tRNA from 1 species
UCUUUUAAAGUAAAAAUUACAUUUAAUUUCGACUUAAAAAUUGAUUAUAUUACUAAUCUAAAAGAU